rnacentral:rRNA from 1 species
UACAGAGGUCUCAAGCGUUGUUCGGAUUCAUUGGGCGUAAAGGGUGUGUAGGCGGCGCGGUAAGUCGGGUGUGAAAUCUCGGGGCUUAACUCCGAAACUGCAUUCGAUACUGCCGUGCUUGAGGACUGGAGAGGAGACUGGAAUUUACGGUGUAGCGGUGAAAUGCGUAGAUAUCGUAAGGAAGACCAGUGGCGAAGGCGGGUCUCUGGACAGUUCCUGACGCUGGAGGCACGAAGGUCAGGGGAGCAAACGGG